UACGUAGGGGGCAAGCGUUGUCCGGAUUUAUUGGGCGUAAAGAGCGUGUAGGCGGCCAUUCAGGUCAGCUGUGAAAACUCGAGGCUCAACCUCGAGACGUCGGUUGAAACCGUUUGGCUAGAGUCCGGAAGAGGAGAGUGGAAUUCCCGGUGUAGCGGUGGAAUGCGCAGAUAUCAGGGAGGGAACACCGGUGGGCGAAGGCGGGUCUCUGGGCCGAAUACUGACACUGGAGAAGCGAAAAGCGUGGGGAGCGAACAGG
rnacentral:rRNA from 1 species